rnacentral:rRNA from 1 species
UACGGAGGGUGCAAGCGUUAAUCGGAAUUACUGGGCGUAAAGCGCACGCAGGUGGCUGAGUCAGUCGAUUGUGAAAGCCCUGGGCUUAACCUGGGAAUUGCAGUCGAUACUACUCAGCUAGAGUAUGGGAGAGGGCAGUGGAAUUCCCGGUGUAGCGGGUGAAAUGCGUAGAUAUCGGGAGGAACAUCAGUGGCGAAGGCGGCUGCCUGGCCCAAUAC